rnacentral:rRNA from 1 species
UACCCAAUCCCGAUUCGGGGAGGUAGUGACAAUAAAUAACAAUACAGGGCCAACGGUCUUGUUAUUGGAAUGAGAACAAUUUAAAUAACUUAACGAGGAUCAAUUAGAGGGCAAGUCUGGUGCCAGCAGCCGCGGUAAUUCCAGCUCUAAUAGCGUAUAUUAAAGUUGUUGCAGUUAAAAAGCUCGUAGUCGGAUGUCGGGCUCGGGCAGGCUGUCGGCCUCGGUCGGACGGCAGGCUCGGGUCUUUCUGCCUGAGGAUCCCGUGCACUUUAUUGUGGGCGGGGGACGCAGGCCGUUUACUUUGAAAAAAUUAGAGUGUUCAAAGCAGGCCUACGCUUGAAUACAUUAGCAUGGAAUAAUGGAAUAGGACUUUGGUGCUAUUUUGUUGGUUUAUGGGACCGAAGUAAUGAUUAACAGGGACAGUUGGGGCCGUUUAUAUUUCGUUGUCAGAGGUGAAAUUCUUGGAUUUACGAAAGAUAAACUUCUGCGAAAGCAUUCGGCAAGGAUGUUUUCAUUGAUCAAGAACGAAAGUUAGGGGAUCGAAGACGAUCAGAUACCGUCGUAGUCUUAACCAUAAACUAUGCCGACUAGGGAUCAGUGGAUGUCAAUUUGCGACUCCAUUGGCACCUUGUGAGAAAUCAAAGUUUUUGGGUUCCGGGGGGAGUAUGGUCGCAAGGCUGAAACUUAAAGGAAUUGACGGAAGGGCACCACCAGGAGUGGAGCCUGCGGCUUAAUUUGACUCAACACGGGGAAACUUACCAGGUCCAGACAUAGUAAGGAUUGACAGAUUGAAAGCUCUUUC